UAGGACUCAUGCCCUCCUUAGCAUCAUUCUCGUAUCAAUACUUGAAGCAGCACAAUCAUGACUGGACGUGGUAAAGGAGGAAAAGGUCUCGGAAAGGGAGGAGCUAAGCGUCACCGUAAGGUGCUCCGCGAUAACAUCCAGGGAAUCACCAAGCCCGCCAUCCGUCGUCUGGCCCGCCGAGGAGGAGUCAAGCGUAUCUCUGGACUAAUCUACGAAGAAACCCGUGGUGUCCUCAAGGUUUUCCUGGAAAAUGUCAUCCGUGAUGCCGUCACCUACACCGAGCACGCCAAGAGGAAGACUGUCACAGCCAUGGACGUCGUCUACGCCUUGAAACGUCAGGGCCGCACCCUCUACGGUUUCGGAGGUUAAUUUACUUCCUGCCGUUGCCGCACUACCGUCUCUUUAAAACGGCCCUUUUCAGGGCCACCACAUAUACGAGCUUCUCAUCUUACCCACCCCACCACCCUCCACCAUGGAACCUAUUAAGGUGGAUCUACAGUUUUUUUUGUUUAGAAAUUUCUCCGCCCAGGGGACGCCACCGUCGAUGUCCGUUUUCGUCAAAUUUCUGCAGUCAAAGCUGAAUUUUGAAGAAACUGAGCCUUUAUUUCAAAAUCGGAAAAUUUCAUGCUGUACCAAAAUUGGCUCUUGCUGGGUUGCGGAGCUCUCUUUCAUCAAGGUCCCACAUUUUACCUUAACACUGGUUACUGGUGUCUAUACCUUGCCGGACACACCAAUCAUAUUUGCUGUAUCUCACUCCAGAUGGAACGCUCCUGAACACUUUAAAACGAAAGGCUACUGCUUGCAAUACCUUCUCUCUAAAUAUGACAGUGUGAUGAUAGAUGAUUUCGCCGCUUCUUUUGUGAAGCAGUCAGAUGCACACUCUCCGUCAUAG
rnacentral:lncRNA from 1 species